rnacentral:rRNA from 1 species
AUUGAACGCUGGCGGCAGGCCUAACACAUGCAAGUCGAGCGGAUGAAGGGAGCUUGCUCCUGGAUUCAGCGGCGGACGGGUGAGUAAUGCCUAGGAAUCUGCCUGGUAGUGGGGGAUAACGUCCGGAAACGGGCGCUAAUACCGCAUACGUCCUGAGGGAGAGAGUGGGGGAUCUUCGGACCUCACGCUAUCAGAUGAGCCUAGGUCGGAUUAGCUAGUUGGUGGGGUAAAGGCCUACCAAGGCGACGAUCCGUAACUGGUCUGAGAGGAUGAUCAGUCACACUGGAACUGAGACACGGUCCAGACUCCUACGGGAGGCAGCAGUGGGGAAUAUUGGACAAUGGGCGAAAGCCUGAUCCAGCCAUGCCGCGUGUGUGAAGAAGGUCUUCGGAUUGUAAAGCACUUUAAGUUGGGAGGAAGGGCAGUAAGUUAAUAACUUGCUGUUUUGACGUUACCAACAGAAUAAGCACCGGCUAACUUCGUG